AGACGCUAGAUCCAAACAAUCAUCCUACAAAGUGUAAACUAGAUCUCAAGUCUAUUGGGCUUAAUAGUUUAAGAUAGGAAAGUUCGAACCUUUCUUGUGCGAAAACAAAAAAUUGUAGAAGCCUGCGGAGGUUGAUAAUACAGGGGUUACAGACUGAUCUGGUGUGAUCAAGACCUUAUAGUGUUGGUUAGAAGUUUCUACCAACUGAAUACUAUAGUGGAUAAUCUCACACGAAGUGUGGGGACCGGAAGUAGCCGGGUUUGGUGAACCAGGAUAACUCUCCUGUGUUAUUCUUCUUUCUCUGUCCCUCUCUCUAUCUUUUAUUUUUACACGAUAUGCACACAACUAUCACACACAUUAAUAUCUAUUUAUCUCCAGAAUAUUCUGGUCCUAAUUAAUCACAACCAAAUUAAUCAAGAGUUCUCUGGUCUUUAAAUAACCAUUAAUAUUGUUUUCAGCUUAAUAAUUAAUUAU
rnacentral:lncRNA from 1 species